AUAAACACACACAUACACAAACACACACACACACACUCACACUCACACUCACACUUCCUCCUCUAUAGUGUUGCUCGUAUGUUCAUGAGUUUAGGGCUUACCUACUAAGAACUGGACAAACUAUUAGGAAUCUCAUGCCUGGAGAAAACGGAUUCUCCAUUCUCAGCAGCCAUUGGUUGACUAUGGUCUUCAUCUAGGGGUGGGACUUGUGAACAGCCCCAUCUGUGCUGCUGUGGUGUCCACUGGCACUGUCAUCAUGCAGGUUGUCUGGACAAGCAUAAUUUUUGGACGUCAUGGUUGGAACUGCCUGCCGCGAUCAGAAGAAACUAUCUUGUAGCCAGUGUGCUGGCCCCAUGGCUUCUAUGCCCUUCCUGGAUCCUCUUCUAUGACAUUUCUUGAGCUUAGGAAUAGGGGUUGCAUUGUUGAUGAAACACCAUAGAAGUGUUUUGUGUCAUCUCAAAAGACUCAUGUAGGACAGACCUGAGGUAAAACCACCUGCUUCCUGAUGUCUGUUUCUGUAUUUCUUUCACAUUUUCUUUUGUUUAAAGCAAAACAAAAUGUUUUUGAAAGACAACUGUAGAGAUUACUGAGCAUAUUUUGUUUAUGAGGUGGCUUUUAUUUCAUCAUAACACAAAUCACAAAACUGUAUCAACGAUUGAAAAGCAUUGAAGGCUGAGUAAGUGAAACAUAUCCUCUAGUUGAGAAAGGUGAUGGGCAAGUUACUGGUUUAAACUUCAGAUUGACCUCCAUUUGAAAUACUUAGAUGCCAGCGCUCCCCCGACAGAUGGCUACAGGGAACCAUGUGAUUGUGAAGCCAGGCAUGGAAUCUUCAAUUGAUUGCUCUGUGACUGUAGUGAGCUCUUUAAGAAGAAUCUUUAUCUCCAGUCUUGACAAUGACACUGAAGAAAUGAAUCCCUGAAUUUUAGUUGCAGACCAUAUGAGUGCCUGUUGACAUUGUGACGUAACCCUCCUCCUGAUUACCAGCAACCUUUGUGAGGUAGCAGGUAGACCCUGAAUGUGAUGGAGAAUCAUGUGUGCUCGACUAAACUAUCCUGGUCUGUCCCUCAGAGAAGGGAUCUGAAGAAUGAGCCAACCACCAUACAAAGUAUACUGAUCUCUGUGAUUCUCUCCUACCUACAUCUGUAAGAGGAAGGACUUUGAACACAACACCAUGCUUAGAAUGGCAUAAUCAUAAUGGCAGCAUUGGCCUAAUCAUUUUAGCAUGCCUUUGGUACCAUUUCAUGCACUGAAAAUUCAUUAAAUGCUUGUGCUCUGAUCUCCUAUGAAGCUGAGUGUUACAUAAAAAUACAAGCUUGUCAUUCCUAUUAGCAAUGUUAUUAGUAAUUAAAAGGAGGAGAAAGUGAAAGAUUCGAAUGUACUAUUUACAUUGCUGGGUGGAAAAGGUAUCACUUACAUUUAUUUACAAGGCCAAGUCGGGUCUCAGUAGCAACAGCAUCCAAAGUUAAGAUGUUGUGAUCAAGAAAAAUAACAUUCCACUAGAAAAUUCUAUAUAAAAAAAGCACAUUUAAGCUAAGCAAUCUCCCCACAUACAACUUAUUUUUAAAAAUUGUAUAUUUACUGUAAUUGAUCACAACUUUUAAGUCAGAAAAUAAAAAGCAGAAGAGGAUAUGAUUGUUCAGGGUAGACUUUUAAAAUUUGUAAUAUGUUCUUAGGACUUGGGUUUUAUUCCAAAAUAUUCAUUUGUACAAAAAAAAAUCAAGCUCUAGGAAACAAAGAGCAAGAGGUGAGUUCAAACAAGAACAAUGUGGGAAGGUUCGGUGAUAGAUUAGCUAAUAAUGGGGCCCUAUGGGUAGGCAUUGUGACACAAUCCAAUAUUGCCACGCCCCAAGUUCAAGCAAAUCUUGGAUAGCCCUGGAACCUGGAGAUAGCCUUCAGUUGAUGAAACUCCUUGGGAACUCCAAGGAUGUGCUGUUCCCUAAGCAGUGCCUGCCGUUACACUCUGGUUUGCAUGUUUCUAAUUGGAGAGGACUGGCCAGACAAUGGCAAAUGUUAUCACUGUUUUUCCUGCUUUCCUGCGCAGAUCCUCAGACCCAUAGACGCUUCAGAGCAGAGUGUGGCCCACAACCAAGGUUUGGGCCCUGCUGCGGCUCAUUCUGCAUGCAAGUGGAAGACUGAAGGAGAGCCGCUCUUCAGGCUCCAUUAUGAAGUCUCAACACCGGUGAGCAACGUACCAUGCAACUGUGCAGAAUUAUGCUGGGAUCGCGCAAGGCACAAUCGAUAGUUUCCAGAAUGCUUUGCUGUUUAAAGUGCUUCAUGACUACUGUUAUGUCAAGCUUGACUGCAUGGAAACAAGCUAAACCCAGCAGAAGGGUCUUAAAGUAGGUCAGAUUUUUAUCACUGACAAUAGAUGAGAAAAAAAAACCUUCACUUUUCUAUUCUGUCGUUCUGCCUUCCCAAGACAGUAAGUUCUAUUGAAGUCUUAAUCAUGUCUAGUACCUCAUAGGGAACGAGGAAGGCAAACGGGUCACCACGCAAUGAUGACGUCUCCUGUCAGUACCAUAAUGACGAGGGGUUGAUCCACACCAUUGGGAAGAUAUUGGCAAAGGUUUCAGAAGAAUGUUCACAUGCAUGGAAUAGUUUCCCAAUUCGGAGAUCCCCUGUGGACACAGACAUAGAGUCCCUUCCCCUUUUUAACUUUCUCAAUAAAUUUUGAAAUGAUGCUUUAUUUAGCGUUCAUUUCACAUUUAUUUAUUUACCAUCUUUUUUAAAGUUUCUCUGGCAUUUGGGGCUAAAGACUGGCACAAUCCCUGGCCUGCCCAGCUCCUAGCCUGUAUCCAGCCUUCACAAAUGUGCCCCACAAGAACAAGUGAGGCUCAUCAAGCAGACGUAUGAAAUGCUCGAGGUUUUCUAUAAACUUUUUUUUUCCUGAUUAGAUAUAUUCUUUGAAAAUGUCACGAUUUAUAGAAUGCAUUCGCGUCAUAUCCCCACCUCGUUCAUUUUCCUCAAAUACAAGUGUGCUCAUAACACCGACGCUAUAAAAAAUGUUUCUCUAUUACACUGAGUUCUUCCGUAAGUUGAGGCUAUUUGUUCAUUCGAGUAAACGAAAAAUUUUGAAACAGUCUCACUUAAAAAGCAAUGAACAGAAUCUCCUUCGGUGAGGGACAUGGCUGUCUGGUGUCUUCACCUCAGCCUACGUUCCUGAGGUCAUGGGCUUCCUCCGUGCGCUGGUGUUUUAUAUUCAUGCUCUCCGCUGAGGAGCUUCUUUCUAAUGGCUUCGCGGUGCUUAUUUUGCAGUUCUGUCGGGGACAACUAAAUGACAUCUAGACUGGAGUUACAAGGAACCUUGCUUUCAGGAAAGCAAGUAGAAGCUCGCUGGAAAAUAACAGGCUCUACAAACUACCCGGUUAUUUCCUUGCUUUUUGUUUUUAGAGUCCCCAGCCCCUGGGGUAGGAAGACCCGGAGCCCUUGAUUCAGGCUCCGAGGACUCCGAGGCUGUGCCCACCAAGUACUGUGAAGCUUCGAUUCACGUGCUCUAUUUAUCUGCGGCAUGUACGCCAUUUUAAUCUAAGACUUUGGUUUAAUUCAGAUCUUGUAACCUCAGAGUGUCCCAUUUAUCUACACUGAUCUCCCAAUUCAGUCGGAAUUAAUCAACACUGUGAGGCUCGCAGAGAGCACGGUGCAGUCCAGUUCUCCCAAAUUAUUCACCAGUCCCACCUUUACUGUAGUGUCCCCAAAUCAACAGACUUCUGCCUUUGAAUCAGUCCUCUUUGCCACAGGCAACGGAAAACGUCGACUUGGUAGAAAUGCGAAUUGCAAUGGACGUGAUGAGAAGAUAUCUUCAUAACCACACGGCCUGAUGAGGCUCGAUGAAAAUGUAAUGGACAAUUUGGUCCCGCAGAGCAAGCUCCAUACGGACCGGACCACAGAGACGCGGUUUCUCUGCUACCUUCCUCAUCAACGGCUGUAUCUCACCAACAAGAGGUUGUAACCCUGGCUUUACCCUAAAUCCUUCCAUCAGAUCCACAAGGAGGUAGCCAGAAAGCCGCUUAAGUGGAGGGAGCGCUGCGUGUCAGCAGAUCAGAAGUGCUAAUCCGUAGAACCAGAGCUGUUCCAGGCACUACAUCUUUAUUGGCGUGCCAGGCCUGGCUGCAUGGAAAUGAGCUGAACCCAAGAGAAGGGUCCCGAAGUAGGUCAGACAUUUAUCAUCGACAGUAGAUGGGAAAGUCACUUUUUUAUUUGUCCAUUUAUUUCCCAGAGAGUAAGUUCCAUUGAACAUGAAGCCGGCCGUGAUUAUAAUAGCCAUUUUAUCUUCCAACUGAGGAGGAGGGCUUGGACACAGUGCAUUUACAGGCUGCUCUCAAGGCUCCCAGGGAACUUUCACAAACCACAUCCUCCAGAACGUGUCCCUGGUCGAGUUUAACAGUGAUUGGUGUCACCUUCUGGAACCCAAAAGUGAUGCUGUAACCAUUUAUGACAUUUAAGAGCCUACAUUCUUUCUUUGGGGUGUUGUGGGGUGGCGGUUGUAUGUUUACAGUAAAGAAACUACGGAAUUAGUUCCAAGUACUUUUGAAGUACAUCAAAGCCUAAGUUCUUUCAGGUUAGCAACCGUGUGUAUGUGUGAUCUGGCUUUCGAAGACAUAGCUCACGGGUGCGUACUUUGCGGAUAUAGCACACAGGCGCUUACUGUACAUCCAGCGGCUAGAGGUCUAUGACAGAAGUGAAUUUGAACCCCAUCUCCCACUGGCUUUGCAGCUCCGUGCAGCUCAUUGCACAGCCUGUGCUGUGGAUUUGCCAUCUCUGCAGCAAAGGGGACAAUGUGGCAAUUGUAACACUCGAACUUGGACCUUAAGAGGAUAAAAUAACAUUAUUGGCCUAGAGGACGUGGUUAACAAACACUGGAUAUCAUUGCUCCGUUAAAUUCUCUGGAGUCUGGAGGAAAUGAGCAUGAGGCUAACCGUCCCUUUAUGAGAAAUGCUUAUGGUCAUUGAGGCAGGACAUAGAAAUGCAGCAGGGAGAAUUAUAGAACGGCUCGUGUUCUGCUGGGUAGAAGUUAAGCUUAAUCAUGUGCCCAGUAAUGCAGGCAGCUGAAGUGCAGAACUAAUUACGUAGGACAGUCAUCGAGGGCUGCAGGAGUGGGCACAGCUCUGACUUCAUCUCGGAGGACUGUUCCUCAGAGAACGGAGAUUCAGCAGACCCCUCUCAGACAGGAAAGGGACAGAGCACAUCCGCGGUCUUGUCCUGUGUAUAUGACUGAGUGCGGUGGUGUACUGAAUUGUUGGAAGAUGGUUACCUUCGUGCACAGUGCUCAAGUAAUGAUGAUGGCAGACAACUUGGAAUAUAUAUAUGAAAAGAAACAAGUUGGGGAGUGUUUGCUCAUAAAGUUUACAGCUCACAAUAUCGGCAACAAGACAUCAAAGGCACAAUGGGAAGAUACUUUAGAAUCAGGACGUUGUUCCCCCACUAGUACUGACUACCUUUUUGUUUCUCUAGUGCAAGAAUUGUUUUCUGAAAUGUUUCUAAUCAUUACAGGAGGCCGCUUCUUAAUCCAGGGCACUUUAAAUAUCUCAGAACAUUAGUGGAAGACUCGAUUUGCCUGUUCAUAGACAGUAUUCAUAUACUGAAUACUAAUGCGUACACACGCCAGGAGCAGCGCUGUUGACACAAAGGCACGCAUCGACAGUGAGGAUCUCGACGUCAAGAAGAUCGAAGUGACAUUUCUAGCUCGGCGAUGACAGGCACCAUUGUGUCUGGAACCCACAAGUUCAGAUCACUGUGAGCCUUGCCCAUCUGGUUUCUUGUUGGCAUUAAGAUACAGUGUGUGAAGGAUGUUCUUGGAGAAUAUUAAAAUCCUGGAAGAAACACCACCAAGCUUCUGGCUUAGUGUGGUAAAAGACAAGCUGCAACCUGAUCAAGUUAUUCUGGAAAACAUCUGCACAAGCCCUAACUAUCUGUCAGAUACACAGGGCUCGACACAGCUGACUAGGAACAAAUCCUGCUCCACACCUCUGGUGUUUUUAUGGUGCGCCACCUCCCACAGUGUGCCUUGUUCAGUCUGUCAUUGCUUUCUGCAUGAAAACUCAUUCUGUUUCUCUCCUGCUGCUGCUGUGGCACAAGGAAUCUGGUGUGGAAGUCACAAAAAGAUGCUUGAUCUGUGAUGGAGGAGUAUCUGGAAGAAUUAGGAUCCAAUCACAUAUUUCUUCAUUCCUUGUGAGUUUUGCUAUAGUUCUGCUAUAGCACCCUCUGUCCUUCAUCAGAUAGAAUGACCCACACAGCAUGAACAUAUGUGAGAGUCAAUAUUGAUCGCCACCUUGACAAAAAGCCUCCUAGAAUGCCAAUGAGAAAUUACUAUUUACAUUAAUGACUGGUCUACAUCAAUCGAGGUGGGAAGAGGUUGAGAGCACAAGCACUCACUCCUCUCUCCUUUCAGAAUGCAGAUGUAAUUAUUCCAGCUGUUUUAUGCUCUUCACGCCAUAACAUCUUUGUCAGGAAUGAGAAGAGCCUUAGAUUAUGAGUUAGAUAGACCCUUCCUUACUCCCCUAAACAGUUGGGGAGAAAAGGGUUUGCUCAACUUACACUUCCA
rnacentral:sRNA from 1 species